GUAUGUAAUGAUGGGGAAAUUCUUUAUCAAAAAAUAUUAUCAUGAAAAUAUUAUACAUAUAUAAUGCGUAUAAGUAUUAUAAAAAAUAUCAAAUCAUUUUGUUUUAUUUAUACGAUGAGUAAUAAAUCAUUAUUUUUGUUUCAAUGAUUGCAUUUGUAUCAAUAAAGAUAUUUUUAAUAAAAUUUGAAAGAUUUUAUAAUAUUUCUAUAAAUUUAAGCAGCUUACAAAUAAAUACGAAUAUCAUAGAAAUAUGACUUACUAUACGUUCUUUUUAGGGACCCUAGAUUAAUGAACGUCGAUUGUUAUUUAGAACUUUUAGUAAGCUAAAUGUGUUAGUUGACUUUUGGUAAAAAGUUGUUUUGAUUCGUAGGAAAUAAAUAUUAGUUCGUUAGAUCUUGGCAAUAUUUUUGAAUUUCUUACUAAAAGAUGGAGACUAAACCAAAAAAUGAAUAUUUACUUGCUUUAAAAGUAAUGAGGUUAACACGACCCACUCUUGCCAGUCCUGUAGUUGUUACUUGUGAUUCAACAGAUUUACCAGGUAAUACGCUCAACAAUGAAUUAAAAAAUGAUUGCACGUCAUUGCAAGGAAUGGAAACACUUGCUAUUGGGCAAUUUAUGGUAUUACCGCAAAGUUUUGGAAAUAUAUAUUUAGGAGAAAUAUUUUCAAGCUAUUUAUGUGUACAUAAUGGUAGUAAUCAAGUAGUUAAAAAUGUGACUGUUAAGGCAGAUUUACAAACGAGUACUCAAGUUAUUUCAUUGUCGUCGGGAAAUUCAGAAGUCAAGGAAUUAGCUCCUGAUAAUACAGUGGAUGAAGUUAUUCAUCAUGAAGUUAAAGAGAUAGGAACACAUAUAUUAGUAUGCGAAGUUAGUUAUGCACCUGCUAAUUUGAUGGGUCCUCAACAGUCGUUCAGGAAAUAUUUUAAAUUUCAAGUAGUUAAGCCAUUGGAUGUGAAAACAAAAUUCUAUAAUGCAGAAUCUGAUGAAGUGUAUCUUGAGGCACAAAUACAAAAUCUUACAGUAGGUCCAAUUUGUUUAGAAAAAGUGUCAUUGGAAUCGUCACAUUUAUUUAGCGUAUCAACAUUAAAUAAAAAUGAAAAGGGAGAAAGUAUUUAUGGGAAAAUUAACUUAUUGGAUUCUGGUUGCAGUAGACAAUAUCUAUAUUGUUUGAAACCUCAGUUAAGUUUACAAAAAGAUCCUAAGAUGAUGCAUAAUGCUACUAAUAUUGGGAAAUUGGAUAUUGUAUGGAAAAGUAAUCUGGGAGAAAGAGGGCGACUACAAACAAGCCAGUUACAAAGAAUGGCACCAGAAUAUGGAGAUCUAAGAGUCAUUAUGAAAGAUAUUCCAUUGAAGGUUUACCUUGAAGAACAAGUGAAUCUUAAAUGUCACAUAACAAAUACUUCAGAAAGAAGUAUGGAUUUGUUAUUAAGUUUGGAAUCAAGUGAUUCAAUUGCAUGGUGUGGAAUAUCUGAUAAAAUAAUUGGAACAUUAAAACCUGGGACCUCUAUUGAUGUACCUUUGAGUUUGAUCCCAUUAGAUAGUGGCAUUACUCUCCAACAGCACAUGCCAAUAAUGUUUGAACAUCCUUAGGUUCGUUUCCACCAAAAAUGUAACCAUUUGCCUUAUCAACAGCAUUUUUCACUUGUAACAAAAGUGCUUGAUUGGAAACAUCCAAUGAGAAUAUAUUUACCUGGAUCGCUACAAUGAUGUGAGUCUACAAGAUGUACGCUACAUAAUCUUAUUAAAUUCUGAGUCAAUUUCUCAACAAUUGAACUAACAGAUUUAUGAUGUGUAUAAAGUUCAACCUAUUUAUAACAAAGUUAUAAUUCAAUAAUGUAUUCACGAUAAACGAUUUAAAUAUUGAUAUAUAAUUAUACCUGUCCUGGGCAAUCAAAAAUAAGUAAACUAAUGCACCAUUCGGACCAAGACCAUAUACUGACAUUACUUCUUCGUGUUCGAUUAAUUCGGAUAUAUCUACUAGUGGGGUAUAUUCCAUAUUUUCAUUGGCCGGAUCUGAUGGUAAGAAAAUAUAUUUGUAUAAAUUAAAUAAUUACAAAUUAAUGCUAUAUCAAGCAUACCUAUGUUGAUAACAGCUACUUUUCUACCCAUUUGUUCCAAAAAUUUACACAUUGCAUUGCAGUAUGUAGUUUUUCCGCUACCAGGUGGCCCAAUGACCAAUUGUCCAAAUAUUAAACUCAUAUUUUUUAUCAGUCUUCAAAAUUACCACAAUUUCAACUGAUUUAUAGUAUCAGUUAUAGUUUUUAAUAUCUCUUUAUUAUAAUCUUUUAAAGAUAAUGACAACAAUAAAGGUUUAUCUAUAUUUAUUUCUUCUGCGAUAUAUCUAGCGGCAGCAUGAACAUCAACUUCGUCUUUACCAAAAAUAAUACUGAAAUUUUUAUUUAAUUGUAUUAGAUGUAAAGAAAAAAAAAAAAAAUAAAUAAUAAUAAUAAAACUACUUACUUGGUAGAGAAAAUAUUACUGUUAAAUUGA